UACAGAGGGUGCAAGCGUUGUUCGGAAUUAUUGGGCGUAAAGGGCGCGUAGGCGGUGCGGUAAGUCUGUAGUGAAAUCUCCGGGCUCAACUCGGAGUCUGCAUCAGAAACUGCCGUGCUCGAGUGUGGGAGAGGUGAGUGGAAUUCCCGGUGUAGCGGUGAAAUGCGUAGAGAUCGGAAGGAACACCAGUGGCGAAGGCGGCCGCCUGGGCAGUAACUGACGCUGAUGCGCGAGAGCGUGGGGAGCAAACAGG
rnacentral:rRNA from 1 species